rnacentral:rRNA from 1 species
GAUGAACGCUGACAGAAUGCUUAACACAUGCAAGUCGAUGGGGAAGUGGUGCUUGCACCAUGGCAACCAUGGCGGACGGGUGAGUAACGCGUAAGGGACUUACCUGCAGGACUGGGAUAACAGGGGGAAACUCCUGACAAGACCGGAUAAUGUCAUGGAGCUGCAUGGCUUUAUGAUGAAAGGAGACGCCUGCGGAGAGCCUUGCGUCCUAUUAGCUAGUUGGUGAGGUAAUGGCUCACCAAGGCGAAGAUAGGUAGCCGGCCUGAGAGGGUGGACGGCCACAAGGGGACUGGGAUACGGCCCUUACUCCUACGGGAGGCAGCAGUGGGGAAUAUUGGACAAUGGGGGCAACCCUGAUCCAGCAAUUCUGUGUGCACGAAGAAGGUUUUCGGAUUGUAAAGUGCUUUCAGCAGGGAAGAAGUAAGUGACGGUACCUGCAGAAGAAGCGACGGCUAAAUACGUG